GAGACCAUGCUUUUAUGGUUCAUUUCUUAAGUAUGUGUCGCAACGGUAUCCGAUUCUGUUGAGCGAAUCAACAACAUCACGAUGAUGAGAGAUCGUAUUGAGUCCUGACCGCGAAACAGGUUUUUCUUUAAAAUUUGUUCCUCCGCCUGUAACGAAUGUAAGAAAUCCAUUGAGGAUCGUUCUAGAGAGGUUUAAUAACUUCUUAAAGAGGGACUCAAUACUUUCUGAGUGAU
rfam:Octopus bimaculoides Scaffold17347_contig_54, whole genome shotgun sequence.